rnacentral:rRNA from 1 species
UGCCUCAGUAGCGGCGAGUGAAGCGGCAAGAGCUCAGAUUUGAAAUCUCACCUAGUGUGCGAGUUGUAAAUUGCAGGUUGGAGUCUCGGGUUAGACGUGUGUGCAAGUCCCUUGGAACAGGGUGCCACUGAGGGUGAGAGCCCCGUAUCGUGCAUGUCGACACCUGUGAGGCCCUUCUGACGAGUCGAGUUGUUUGGGAAUGCAGCUCUAAGUGGGUGGUAAAUUCCAUCUAAGGCUAAAUAUUGGCGAGAGACCGAUAGCGAACAAGUACUGUGAAGGAAAGAUGAAAAGCACUUUGAAAAGAGAGUGAAACAGCACGUGAAAUUGUUGAAAGGGAAGGGUAUUGGGCUCGACAUGGGAUUUACGCAUCGUUGCCUCUCGUGGGCGGCGCUCUGGGUUUUUCCUGGGCCAGCAUCGGUUUUCGUUGCAGGAUAAGGACAAUUGGAAUGUGGCUCCUCGGAGUGUUAUAGCCUUUUGUAGAUGCUGCGUAUGGGGACCGAGGGCUGCGGCGGACUCGUUUCGUCUCGGAUGCUGGCACAACGGCGCAAUACCGCCCGUCUG